rnacentral:rRNA from 1 species
CAAGAAUAUUAGUCAAUGCUCGCAAGAGUGAACUAGUUAACUGAAAUCACAGGACUCACUUUGUUGAGAAAUGUGAUAACGUAAAGGAAAAAAAUGAUAUUACUUUACUAUAAGUGUUGUCCAAAACUGGUGCCAGAAGACUCGGUAAGGCCAGAGACGCAAACGUUAGUCGUCCUAAUCAGGCGUAAAGGGUUUGUAGGCUGCUUUAAAUUUUUUAUUUUUAUAAUAGCUCUGUAAUCAUAUAAUAUUAUUUUAAUUUUAUGUAUAUAACAGUAAAAAUAAAAAAUCAAUUAAAGCUAGGAUCAAAUUGAGGAUAAACCAAAUAAUACUUAGUGUAGGGUUGAUAUCUAUAGAUACUAAGGGGAAUACUAAAGGUGAAAGCUUUUUAUCUAAUAAUGAUUGACGCUGAGAAACGAAGGUGAGAAUAGGAAAUAGGAUUAGAUACCCAGAUACCUCUCACUGUCAACGAUGAAUGGUGGUUGUUAGUUUUAAUAAAAACUGGUAACGAUGUUAACACGAUAACCAUUCCGCCUUGCGAGUACGGUUGCAAAACUGAAACCAAAAAAAUUAGUCGGUCUCGAAGCAAACGAAGUGAAGCAUGMUAUUUAAUUCGAUAAUCCGCA